rnacentral:rRNA from 1 species
CUGCGAAUAGCUCAUAAAUACGCUCAGAAUCUAUUUGGCGGCGACCAAAAGGUCCUAAAUGGAUAGCAGCAGCAACUCUGGUGCUAAUACAUGCGAUUGUUUCUCCAGAUGUGAAUUAUGGAGGAAAAGUUGACCUCAUCAGAGGCACGCCAUUCGACUGAGUGACCUAUCAGCUUGUACUUAGGGUCUUUACCUAGGUAGGCUAUCACGGGUAACGGGCGGUUACCGUCGGACUGCCGGAGAAGGCGCCUGAGAGAUAGCGACUAUAUCCACGGGUAGCAGCAGGCGCGAAACUUUCCCACUCGAGACUUUCGGAGGAGGUAAUGACCAGUUCCAUUGGUGCCUUUCGGUACUGUGGAUAGGGGUACGGUUUUCCACCGUACCGAAACCUAGCAGAGGGCCAGUCUGGUGCCAGCAGCUGCGGUAAUUCCAGCUCUGCGAGUUUGCUCCCAUAUUGUUGCAGUUAAAACGCCCGUAGUCUGAAUUGGCCAGCAGUGGUCGUACGUAUUUUUACGUUCACUGUGAACAAAUCAGGACGCUUAGAGUAUGGCUACAUGAAUGACUCAGCGCAGUAUGAAGUCUUUGUUUUCUUCCGAAAACAAGCUCAAUGAGAGCCAUCGGGGGUAGAUCUAUCUCAUGACGAGUGGUGGAAUACUUUGACUCAUGAGAGAGAAGCUGAGGCGAAGGCGUCUACCUAGAGGGUUUCUGUCGAUCAAGGGCGAGAGUAGGAGUAUCCAACAGGAUUAGAGACCCUGGUAGUUCCUACCUUAAACGAUGCCGACAGGAGUAUGUCAUUUGUUAAUGGCAGAAUCUUUGGAGAAAUCAUAGUUCUUGGGCUCUGGGGACUACGACCGCU